rnacentral:lncRNA from 1 species
CGGGCGGGUCGGUGGCUGUGCGGUGCCGGUACCAGACGGGUUAUGAGAGUUAUCACAAGUUCUGGUGCCGGGCAGGAGGAGGUUUGUUAGAAGGUUUGGUAGAAGGUUGGAGCUGUUCCAACGGUCACAUCGUUGAGACCGAUGGGUCGGAGGCGGAGGUGAUGGGGGACAGAGUCUCCAUCCGAGACAAUCACACCCAGCGCGUGUUCACUGUGACCCUGGACAACCUGACACGGGCAGACGCCGGCACGUACCACUGCGGGGUAGAGAGAACUGGGCUUCCUGAUCUCAGGGACACUGUGGAAGUCACCGUCUCCCCAGAUCAUUCUUCCCCAACCCCAACAAAAAGGUCAUCAUCAGCGACAGUGCAACCAGCUUCUUCUUCCCCCUCAAUAUCUACUUCCCUCUGGACAACUACUGAGAAAGGGAAAUCCAGCUUCUCCACUAACCAGGACAACACUGCCUCUGAGUGAGUACCAGUGCUCCAGCCAGGGUCGCUUAUGGGUGCGUCUACACUGCAGCUGGGUGCGAGCUCCCAGCCUGGGUACACAGACUUGUGAUCGUGGGGCUUGCGAUAAUGUGCUAAAAAUAACUGUGCAGACAUUGGGGCCUGGGCUCUCAAGCUCACACUUGACCUCUAGGCGUGAUGAAAGCCCAGACCACAAAGUCUAAGCAUGUGCCCUGCCUGCUGGGAAAGCCAUGGGGACAUACUGCUGUAACCAUCCCCCUUCCUCAUUCAUUUCCCUCCUCACAGCUUGUUUCUCCCUCUUCCUGCACCACGUCUGAGAGUCUGCCCCUGCAAGCACAGAGGCACAUGGGCCAUUUGAGUCACAUGACUAGUCCCAUGGACAUCUAUAUCCUGGUCUAUACAAUCUAUUCCUGACAAGGAGAGUCAGCAAAGGGUGCAGCGAAUCAGCACUGAACAAGCUCCAACUGUAGACAAACUGCAAGAUCUAGAGCCAAAUUAUUUCAAACUAAGAAUUUUAAAAAUCAAAUGAUCUUUUCCCCCGUAUAUUUUGUUCGCUUUUUGAGCUCUGUGCAUCUUCCAGAAUGAAAGCCGACUGGUCAGUUUCACUUUUGCUUCUAAUUAGUUCCACUCCAGCCCAUGCACUGACUAGCAUAAUCCUGCGAGGUUUGAGUUGCCAGAUGCCAGCGCUGCAAGUGACAUCCUUACUUAUUUACAUUGGAAUUUAAAAUAAUGCAUGGAAAGAUCUCCGUUGGUCUUAGGGUUUUGUAAACAUUUUUACAACAUCUAAAUUUGGGACCAAAUUUGAGCUGAUGCUGUCCCUUCAAACAAAAUAAUGUUUCUAUCAGCUAAAAUUAAAAGUGGAUUAAAACUACAGAAUCCC